rnacentral:lncRNA from 1 species
GAUUUGGGAAUGAACGGUUGCCUUUGGUCAUGAAUGUAUGCAAAUGAACUUUAGGCCAUGUGCCAAAUAAAAAAUGAAAAAAUGAAAAAAAUUCAGGACCAAAAUCGGGGUAUAACACCUUCCUAAUCAAUUUUAGACUCUACCAUGCUGAUCUAAUCUAUUAGGCAAUUAGAAAAAGUCUUUCAAUCAAUAAGACAUUCCCCAAACCAAUUGGCUAGGCCUAAAAA